GUCAGAAUGGCCGAGCGGUCUAAGGCGCCAUACUCAAGCUGAAUGGAGGCGUGGGUUCAAAUCCCACUUCUGACA